rnacentral:rRNA from 1 species
CCUACGGGUGGCAGCAGUGGGGAAUAUUGGACAAUGGGGGGAACCCUGAUCCAGCCAUGCCGCGUGUGUGAAGAAAGCCCUCGGGUUGUAAAGCACUUUCAGUGAGGAAGAACGCCUGGUGGUUAAUACCCAUCAGGAAAGACAUCACUCACAGAAGAAGCACCGGCUAACUCCGUGCCAGCAGCCGCGGUAAUACGGAGGGUGCGAGCGUUAAUCGGAAUUACUGGGCGUAAAGCGCGCGUAGGUGGCUUGAUAAGCCGGUUGUGAAAGCCCCGGGCUCAACCUGGGAACGGCAUCCGGAACUGUCAAGCUAGAGUGCAGGAGAGGAAGGUAGAAUUCCCGGUGUAGCGGUGAAAUGCGUAGAGAUCGGGAGGAAUACCAGUGGCGAAGGCGGCCUUCUGGACUGACACUGACACUGAGGUGCGAAAGCGUGGGUAGCAAACAGGAUUAGAUACCAGAGUAGUC